UACGUAGGGGGCCAGCGUUGUCCGGAAUCAUUGGGCGUAAAGAGCGCGUAGGCGGCCAGAUAAGUCUGGUGUGAAAGUCAAAGGCUCAACCUUUGAAUGCCGCUGGAAACUGUCUGGCUAGAGUCCGGGAGGGGCGAGUGGAAUUCCUGGUGUAGAGGUGAAAUUCGUAGAUAUUCGCAAGAACACCAGUGGCGAAGGCGGCUCACUGGCCCGAUACUGACGCUGAGGCACGAAAGCGUGGGGAGCAAACAGG
rnacentral:rRNA from 1 species